rnacentral:rRNA from 1 species
CCUACGGGUGGCAGCAGUGAGGAAUAUUGGUCAAUGGCCGUAAGGCUGAACCAGCCAAGUCGCGUGAAGGAAGAAUGAUCUAUGGUUUGUAAACUUCUUUUAUAGAGGAAUAAAGGUAUCCACGUGUGGAUAUUUGCAUGUACCUUAUGAAUAAGCAUCGGCUAACUCCGUGCCAGCAGCCGCGGUAAUACGGAGGAUCCGAGCGUUAUCCGGAUUUAUUGGGUUUAAAGGGUGCGUAGGUUGGUUUUUAAGUCAGUGGUGAAAGUUUGUGGCUCAACCAUAAAAUUGCAGUUGAUACUGGAAGACUUGAGUGUAUUUGAGGUAGGCGGAAUGCGUGGUGUAGCGGUGAAAUGCUUAGAUAUCACGAAGAACUCCGAUUGCGAAGGCAGCUUACUAAGCCAUAACUGACAUUGAAGCACGAAAGCGUGGGGAUCAAACAGGAUUAGAUACCCGAGUAGUC